rnacentral:lncRNA from 1 species
UUGUCUUGGCGUAUGUUGCCUUGUAUGUUGAUCUUGUGUAUUGAUCUAUUGUUCCAUGUCCCCUCUCCUCCUAGGGGGUCUUGUAUUUAUACCCAUAUGUGUCCUCUUGUCCAAGUAGAACUAGGGAAACCAAUAUGGAUACAAUCCGAGUAGUCCUUGUCGUUUCCAUGUAGAACUCUGGUUGUCUUUCCUUAUCCGGAACUCCUCCUAUAUCCGCAGGUUGUUUCCGUAUAGGACAUGGUAUGUGGUGGGUCCUGCUGAGAUUUAGUCAACUACUAUUAGGUAUGUGGUAUCCAUAACCCUGACAGUAGCCCCCGACUUCGAUGCAAAUGAACGAAUUCAUAUUCUCAACCGCGCGCAGACCUUGGAGUAAUUGUUAUCGAGCUCAUGUGACCGUUCUCGAUGAGUUCAGAGAUAACGUUAGACUUCCCUUAUCAGCCUCGUGCGGGCACCUAGAGGGUUUGUCUGAGUCAAUCUCCGACAUCAACCAAGAAAGUACAGAGCAUACGACUAAUUCUCCCGUCUUGCUGUAAUCGAGAAUUUGGAUUGAAGUCAAGAAAUUUUAUCUCGGCGGGUACACCAUUUAUUCAUUCUGUAUUCCUUGUCGAGAUCCACCAACCGUUCUCGAGUGAUCGAGAAGGCGCAGAGCCUGCGACGAAGCCUUGUCAACAUUUGUCGUACUCGCUUUAGUUGAUCUUGGUGUAGAACCAUAGAGACAUGGAGUCUUCGUCAAUGUCGAAUAGAAUUUUCCUGAAAUCAAUACUCAGAAAAGAAUAUUAGAUAGAAAUAGCCCCCGAGCGAACGCUCAAAGGGUGACAUGUUAUAAUAUGUAUAGAAAACUGAAAAUGAAUUAAAUUUACAGACCAAUGUUUUGUAUAUGAGCGUCUUCUCUCUUACCGACUUCGAUCAGUCAGUUUGUUGAGUCAUACACACUCUCCCUAGCCCCCAGCCUUAUCGUCGAAGAAACGUUCUCGGAAGAUAAAGCUCUUAGACCCUUGACCUGCCUCGGUUGAACAAGCACUGAUUCUAGCCCCCAGCCAUGAAGUUGGAAAACCCAAUUUCCGAUUACAUGGCUUGGUUAAUACGCACAGUGAGAACUCUUACACGACCAGAUCUUACAUGGUCUUUUGUCUCUUUAGGAUCCGACAAGGCCUUAUCGGCUCUAGGCGUCCCCAGCCGAAGUUCCUUUAGGUUCCUUGGAGGCCUUGUCAAGAUGGCGUAAAGAGAUAUUAGGAUAGGUUUCAACGCUGGGUGUCAUCGUGGUAAGGGAUCUCUGGGUAAAACACUUGGCGAUAUUGUGUACCUGAUAUCAACUUUGUUGAAAUAAAGGUAAUGGGAGAAUCGCUACACCUCUGGUCGAGGACCAGGUAGUAGUCGUAACUCGACCACUUGAAGUAGAUAUAGUGGGAGAAUCGUUACACCGCUGGUCGAGGACCAGAUAGUAAUCGUAACUUGACCACUUCAAGUGGAAAUAGUGGGAGAAUCGCUACACCGCUGGUCGAGGACCAGGUAGUAGUCGUAACUCGACCACUAGAAGUGAGGCGAGAGAGAUCACUACGUCCUACUGGUUUGAGAACCAGGAGUAGGAAUCUCUCAAUCACCUAUAGGGGCGCUAAAGUUGGUUUGUUACAUGUGCAUCUCAUGUGGCCAGCAUGACUCACAUACCCAACUUAUAGUAUAUCCGGAUGUCCGCUCGCAAUUAUGUCGGGUGAUCAAGCCGACAACAUUCACGAGAAUUUGUCCGCUAACAACCUUUUCUCGAAUAGCCCAGCCAUGGUUGGCGCUAUGAGAUAGGUCGUCGGUCUUCGUUGGUAGGUUGGGCGCGACGACUUCGCAUUUGUCGAGAACAUUCUCGAUAAUGGGGUGCACUUGACCACAACCCACUCGAGUGCUCAAUUGUUCCUGAAAAAUAUUUCCUAGAAGGCAAGACAUAUAGCAGAAAAUAUCGAGUAUGUACUCAAAAAACUGCAUGGAUCUUCUAGUAUUAUCAGGAUAUAACGAGCAGAUGUAAAUAUCAGGCAUUAUGUAAACCGUAAACAAGCAUGAUUUAUACAUAAGGAAAUAGAGCGAGCCCCCAACGUUAAACCGUAGUCGAUUUAACAUCGGGGACACUUGCACAAUAGAUAUUGUAUAAAAGACAUGCUCUAGGUAAACAUAAUAAAUUUUAGAUCUGACAAUGUUGUAUGAUCUAAAAAUAGACACGACAAAUUGUAUAUAAAAUAUUGAGUACCUUUGUAGAUACAUGCCGGAUGUAUCUACGAAAUUAGUAGAUUAAUUUAAAAAAUCAAUCUACUAAAUACCUUGAUUUGCAUGCCCGACAUACUGUCAAUAGAAGAUAUAUGUAUGCAUGCAAUAGACCUGGACGUCAAUAUCUUGUUGUCUUGGAAGAGCAAUGCCACCUGUCGCAUGCAUACAUGUGUCUAGGCAUGUGUAUGUGACAUGGUUAGGCAAGCACGCUUGGUUGACCAAUUCCGGCUAGCACACGGCAAGUUGGCGACGCAGCGGCGCCUGUUCUCGGAGAAUUUCAUGUGGCAUGCAUCGAGGUAUAUUGGUUGGUGGGAAUCGGCGUCGUGUCCGGCCUGUGCGCAGCCAGCCAAUACCUCACACCAAUUGAUGUCGUGCACAAGGAGGAAUUGAUAUUGGAUCGGUUUCGGAAGCUGCCGAUACUGAAGAUUCUCCACGGCGGCGAUGACUUGAUGAAGCUUGGUCGAUCUCGCCGGAUCAAAUAUUUGACGAUGAUGGUUCCGAUCUUGUUGGACGACAUACUCCGGUCGGGUUAGAUCUCCCCAUAACCGAAGUUAUCGAGUAGCUUGUUGUUGGAGAAUCCAUCUCUUAAACCCAUCUCGUCGAAAUCCUGAAGCACCAAAGUCCCCUACCUGGCGCGCCACUGCCAACGUUUGAUGUCACGAUUCCGGUAUUUGCAUAGUAUGGGGAUCGUUGGUACUAGGAUAUACGCGAGACUGAGGUAAAAGAGACGGAGACAGGGAUUUUUAUACAGGUCCGGGCCCCUGAAUUGUCAGGUAAUAACCCUACAUCCUGUUGGCCGAAGCCGGUAUUGCUCUUAUUCACCAUAAACACACCAGUAUAAUAUUUGGGGUAGCCUAUCUAACUGUUGUCGACAUGGCGGUCUGAAGGUCUGAUUCAAAGUCGACAACAAGGUAGUCUUCCUCCUCGAGUUCGUGCCCGGCGAGAUCAAAGAUAGCGCUUUCGUCUCUCCUGACAAUAUCCGGAGACACCAUAGGGGACUAGCCGUGCUUAUCCCUGAAGUCGAUAUCCGGCGUUUUGUCUUGGCGUAUGUUGGCUUGUAUGUUGAUCUUGUGUAUUAAUCUAUUGUUCCAUGUCCCCUCUCCUCCUAGGGGGUCUUGUAUUUAUACCCAUAGGUGUCCCCUUGUCCAAGUAAAACUAGGGAAACCAAUAUGGAUACAAUCCGAGUAGUCCUUGUCGUUUCCAUGUAAAACUCUGGUUGUCUUUUCUUAUCCGGAACUCCUCCUAUAUUCACAGGUUGUUUCCGUAUAGGACAUGGUAUGUGGUGGAUCCUGCCGAGAUUUAGUCAACUACUAUUAGGUAUGUGGUAUCCAUAACCCUGACACCGAUAAAAC